rnacentral:lncRNA from 1 species
CAUCUGAAUUAGCAGUAAAUCCAACCGCAACUGUUCCCUUGAUGAUUUUAAUCCCUUUGUUUGCAUAGUAACCCUCGUAGAAAGCAGCAAUACCAGAAGUGAAAAGGCGAGGCACUACAAGAACAACAAAAGAAAUUAGGGAAAUGAGGCACAUAGAAUACAAAAAGUGUCCAAUUUGAUGUUUACAUAUAUACACACAGACAACAUACAAACAAGGCUUGGGGCAGUAUUCACUUACUGCACCAUGGUUCAGGGUAAACCAUUUUAACAUCUAAGUUGUUAAUUCUUAAAGCUGCACCAAGCUCGAGACCAAUGUACCCUCCUCCAACAAUCACUGCUUUCCCAUUCUUUUUGGAUUUAAUUGCUUCGUUGAGUUUAUCAGCAUCAUCAAUUUCUCUCAAAUAGAAGAUGUUUUUGGCCUCAGCUCCUUUGACACCAAAAUCUGUCAAUCUUAU